AUAUAACUGUAUGCUAGCUGUACCCUCAUUGUAGCAUUUUGUCGCAGAUCAGCUUUAAUGAAGCUUUGGCUGUCAGUCACUGUGGCAGCUCUCACAUGCACACAGACACACACAAACAGAUAGACGUAUCCACAUUUUAUGGCCCUGCUGCUGAAUGUUUCCUAACAGGCGUUGCAGCACAUUGAGAGCUUGUUAAUACGCAUCAGCGACAAAUGCUCCCUGAGGCUAAAAGCACAAACUGCCACAGCAGCAGCUGGAUACUCUGAAAGCCAACUUCGACAGGGCACUGUUUGGCUGUCUUGCUGUAAACCAGCUCUCCCUUGGUGGGGCUGAGGCAGGGGUCGGCAGGGGCCACCAUGGUGCAGUCAUUUUCUGAGAAUGUCCUGAAGCACAAAGGCAUCCUAGAGACUUUGGCAGUUCCUCCAUUUUUUUCUCCUGGAUUACCUCUGCUGUGACCAUAAUGCUGUUUCAUCUCCCCUGCAGUGAAGCUCCAACACCUAGUGUCUUAUCUCUGCAAACUGAAGGUUUUUCUUCUGGCACAGCUCAACUGCACUGUGUGAGCAGUCCAGAAAAGACACAUCCACCUUUUAAAAAAGAACAAACCAUUUUCACAAAGGAAUUAAAUGAAACUGAUAGACUGAAUCCUCUGUAAUGGGGCUUGCUGAGGGAUGAACGUAAUAAAAAAUAAAUAAAUAAAUAAACGCAAUAAAUCAAUUUCUCAAUAAUUUCCGAUUCCUCUUUGCACCCUCCUCAGCUACAAAUUACACUUGGUCACACAUUUCCUGCCUUCAUCCACUUGUCAUCUCUCACUAUGCAUUUCUUCCUCAUCCUCUUGAAGUUUCAGACAGAUAUCAGAGGGGUGAGUGAACAUGUGAACUUUUAGGACUGAAAGCAUGAGAGAAUGACAGAGAAAAAGAGAGAGAGAAAUUCAAAAAGAGGUUUUGCCGGAGGCUUUUUACUGCUCUCUGUGUCUGAUGCCACUCACUGCAUCUCUCCUCUGUCUCUAUCACCUCCCACUGAUUCUCUCUCAACUCUACAGUCUAAAUUUGCUGUGUUGUUUUUUCUCAGUGAUUCAACGAAAGAUUGCAGUUAGAAGACAUUU